AUUUGGGGAAACUCUGAAUCUUUUGUUUUCUAAAGAAAAUAUGGUCAAGUUCAAAGAUAAAAGAUCUUGAAGCUCAGGCUUCAAAAACCCAUGGGUCAAAACCAGAACAGGCCAUGGAUUUAUGUCACAAAGAUUUAUGAGUACUCUUCAGACUAUUUUCCACUUCAUCCCUGAAUGAAGGGUGAUCGUCCAUGAAAACUGCUUAAAGUGAGCAGGCUGGCCCGCGUCCCCUCUGACUUGUCAUGUCGGCUGUAUGCUCAUCAUGGCAGACCAUUUACUGACAGCAGACUUCAAAGGAGUGAGCAAAUGUCUGUUUUUAUACAGCACGACAAAAAUGUACUGGACCAUUUUGAGUCCCAGUAUAGAUACAAGUAACGUGUCUUUGCAUACCAGUGCCAAGUACUAAUCCAAAACCUGUGUCAGACUAAUUAAUUGAUACAUUUUAUCUCACACUGUGAAGAAGAAUCAGAUUCUCCUUUUCAUGUUAUAGGGGUAGGAUCAAAUAUUAUAUGUUACAAUAUACUGUAUUUGUCUUGUGAUACAAAAUAAUGAUAUAAUGGUGUAAAACACAAAAUAUUACUGACAAGCCAUGCAGAAAAAAAACAUUGGCGGUGCCUACCAAAUGAAUAUGGGUAAACUUAACUAACUCACAGCAAAGAAAAAUAAAAACAAGAAACUGUGAGUGAGUAAACACAUAAUUCAAAUAUGAGGGUGGGUUUUAAUAACAUAACUUCUUCAGACUGAAGAAGACACAUGUUUGGAAUACACAUGACUAUUCUUACAAUUAAAAAAAAUAAACUUAAAAAACAAAAAAUAGAGCUCCAAGAUUCAUAAAUAAUCAGGGCACACUACAGUAGGCGGCACAUACUGAUGAGUAUUAAGUUAGAACCCAAUCUUUUCUCACCUUCAAUGCACACGCAUACACACACAUUAGACUUACUUGUAUGCAUUAAUAUGAGUGUCAUUAUGUCACAGUAAAUCACUCUGUCAUUAAGCCUCAUAUCACCUUUCCUUCAGAUAUACUGAGAAAGAGAUUUAAUUACCACACAUACACACAGCCACAGGUAGAAACAUAGAGCAAAAUUUAAUUAUCUCACACACGCACGUAUACACACAGGCCCACAGACACACACACACAGACAGAGCAAAGAAGUGGUACACCUUGAUUUCAGUAAAAUGAUGCUGAACUGAACAUAAAACAACCUUAAGUGGCAGAUCUCAGAUGUACAUAAUGCACAGUGUGACACACACACUCUCAAGGACACAGGCAGGCCACUCACGAUAAUUGCAUUAUCCACCUAUCAUAUAAUAUGGACAUAACCUCAGUAAGUUUAGCUGAAGUGAAUUGAAUGCAUGUUCUCUUAGAUCAAAUGUUAUCUGCAUUUUAAGCACCAGGGAAUGAACAGCAGCAUUUUCAGUACUAUUAAAUGUCCUUUUUUUUACAGCCAGAUUAACAGAAAAAAACAAUAUUGUGUCACUGUCAUUUCUGGCUUCAGCGAAUCUGUCCUCUCACCACUAUCACCGUAAGCAACGCUUAGCAGCUCAUGAUGUACACAUCUAUAUCGAUCUAUGAGGAUACUAAACUGAUAAUUAGAAAGAACAUUAGGUAAAAACGAGAUUUUAAAAACACAAUUUAUCAAGCCAAAAAGUCCAUCAUAUCCCUUUCAGCAC
ensembl:lncRNA